rnacentral:rRNA from 1 species
UGGGGAAUAUUGGACAAUGGGGGGAACCCUGAUCCAGCCAUGCCGCGUGUGUGAAGAAGGCCUUAUGGUUGUAAAGCACUUUAAGCGAGGAGGAGGGUACUGGUAUUAAUACUACUGGAUAGUGGACGUUACUCGCAGAAUAAGCACCGGCUAACUCUGUGCCAGCAGCCGCGGUAAUACAGAGGGUGCGAGCGUUAAUCGGAUUUACUGGGCGUAAAGCGUGCGUAGGCGGCUAAUUGAGUCGGAUGUGAAAUCCCCGAGCUUAACUUGGGAAUUGCAUUCGAUACUGGUUAGCUAGAGUGUGGGAGAGGAUGGUAGAAUUCCAGGUGUAGCGGUGAAAUGCGUAGAGAUCUGGAGGAAUACCGAUGGCGAAGGCAGCCAUCUGGCCUAACACUGACGCUGAGGUACGAAAGCAUGGGGAGCAAACAGG